rnacentral:rRNA from 1 species
GUGCCAGCCGCCGCGGUAAUACCGGCAGCCCAAGUGAUGGCCGCUGUUAUUGGGCCUAAAGCGUCCGUAGCUGGCCGCACAAGUCCGUCGGGAAAUCCGCCCGCUCAACGGGCGGCCGUCCGGCGGAACCUGUGUGGCUUGGGGCCGAGAGACUCGACGGGUACGUCCGGGGUAGGAGUGAAAUCCUGUAAUCCUGGACGGACCACCAAUGGGGAAACCACGUCGAGAGACCGGACCCGACAGUGAGGGACGAAAGCCAGGGUCUCCAACCGGAUUAGAAACCCCAGUAGUCC